CACGUAGGGCGCAAGCGUCGUCCGGAAUUAUUGGGCGUAAAGAGCUCGUAGGCGGACUGUCACGUCUGCUGUGAAAAGCUGGGGCUUAACCCUGGCCUUGCAGUGGAUACGGGCAGACUAGAGGUAGGUAGGGGAGAAUGGAAUUCCCGGUGUAGCGGUGAAAUGCGCAGAUAUCGGGAGGAACACCGGUGGCGAAGGCGGUUCUCUGGGCCUUACCUGACGCUGAGGAGCGAAAGCGUGGGGAGCGAACAGG
rnacentral:rRNA from 1 species